GUGUGCCCGAAGCGGUCCGAAUGUGCGCGUGCCCAAAAUGGCGACUAAAUUGAAUAAUUUAUGUAGCCUCAAAUUUUCAUCAAUUUCUAACUGACAGCUAAUAUUGAGAAAAAAUCUUACAGGCAUGUGUUGAAAACAUCACAACGUUCUCAUUUGUUAUAAAUGCAGACUUUUGUACAUGUUUGUAGAAUGUUUCUCCUCGGACAAUUGUGCAGUACUUUACGACCAAAAAUGUUUGGAGAAAUGUGUCAGUUGACCACAGUGAAUAUUCAUAGAUAUGUCUGCCUCAAAAAGACCUCCCUGUCGAUGUUUCAAACACAUUUGUUGUUGUUGUUUCUAAAGGCAUUGGUAUGGUUCUUACAAUUCUUGCGAAACUGUGCAAGGGUUUUAAAUAGUAAAAAGAAAGAUUUAUUCUUAAACAAAUCUCAGUAACAAGAACAGAGCAGCCAAGAAAAUGGUACAACAGAAGUUGAGAUUUUGUGAGGCAUAUGUGUUGAAGAUCUCUUUCAUAGUAAUAAGCAUGUUUAAAAUGUCUAUAGAUGUUAGAUUAGGUUUAGCACAAUUUUUCAACACUAUUUCAGUAUUAUGGCAUCUGAUUAACCUGUCGAAUUUUCAUGUCUCUAUAAAAGCUUAUUAGCUUUGAGCAAUUUUACAUGUUCUGUUUUUAUGAGAGUGAUAAAAGUAUUGUCACAUAGAGCAGGAGCCUGGUCUACCUGCUGUACUAAUGGGGCAUACGCAAGAUGAACUUUAUAAAUCUAACAAGAUUUGUAACUAUGCAGUAUGUAGGAUUAAGAACAUACUUGUACUCUUGAAGUAAUUGACAACUUCGCCCUCAUCAAUGGUAAAAUCAGAGGUACAUGAAUGGCAGGUUGUCUUUUGUCAGAUUUUCAUUGAAAGCAUUCACCUCGCCAUGGGAUCAAACUUGUGGCCUUCCGAUGUGUUUUACUUACAUUGUGCUGACUUUACUGCGCUGGGUUUCCUCAAACAAGUUCUUCUUUUUUAGUCUAUUGCUUUGUACAUCUUAGUGCUAUUGACAUUGCUUAACUAACACUUAUCCAUCUCAGACACUUGUUACUAUAAAUGAGAUCUUGUAUAUAACUGCCUGUAUUUGAAAUCUCAACUUCUACUAUUUAAUAAACAACUAGUUUACAUGUAUCGCUGUAAAAAGCUAGUUAUAAAAUUAUUCUUAAAGCUUUGAUAUUAACAAGUAAUAUUAAAGGCAACUUUCAAGAGUUUUGACUCUGCUUGGUGCAGAAAGAGUACGUUAUUAUAAUAUACAAGUUAAUUUUACUCUGAUGUAUUUUCGCUCGUUUGUAAACUUAUUUGAAUUGCUACAUAUAGAGUUUACUCCACUUAAAAUAUUUGAAUUGCAUAUGGUCAGAUUGUGGUCCUGGCGGAUUGGAUUUGAUCUCGACUGAUGAGGUUUGGUCCGAUUGUGACCCUAUUUGCUUGGGUCAGAUCAUGACCCUAGUUGGGUAUGAUCAAAUUUUGACCCUGGUGGGGUUCGGUCCGAUUAUGACUUUAGUUGUCUACGAUCAAAUCGUUACCCUGGAGGGGUUCGAACCUGCAACAUCUGGUUUGUGAAGUAGAACGCCUUAACCAUGAGGAUAUUAGAAAAGCAAGUCACAUGACAUGUAUGACAUAUAUGUAUUGAGAAGUCUUAAAAUAUUUGGGUUGUGCAUAUACUCCCAAAUGAGCGCUGGUGUUAACUAUGCCAAGACACGGUAUUUAAUAUAAAUAUGUUAAAUGACUUCUUGGAUGAUAAACAUGUGGCAUACACACAGUUAUAAUAAAGUUAGAAAGAAACUUGUAUAUCUGAAUGUAGCCAGCUGUUAGCUUGUUUGGAGAAUCUGGUAAACUUAAUAUUUUUAACAUGUGAUAGAAGCAUAUUGGAAAAGCUGUCACCAAAUAUAAUCAGUAUUUGUCUGAUUUUAUUUGAAAACAGCCAGAAAAGGUAGGUGCACUAUUAGUCUAACCAUUUUACUAUUGUUAUUAAAAGUGCAUGUAUAAAGAAACACCAGUCGAUGGUCAUUAUAGAUAAAAGUCAAAAAUAUUAAUUUUAAUAAAUAUAUUCAUCUUCUUACAAAACUGAAUGUUGAACAGUACAGUUCUAGAAAAAGUUCAGGUAAAUUAUUUCCAUAUUUAAUGGUGUUUAAAUUUUUUCACAAAGUUAGGUUUUAUCAGAGACCCUUAUGGGAUUCUUCAGUUUAUGAUAUUUUGAGACAAUGACUGCAAUAUUGGUACACUUCAGACUGGUAAAGCGUUUAUGUAAUUUAAAUGAAAUAUGCCAAGAUAUAUGCCCUACACGUCUGAUUAUGAGAUUUUGUUAGAAUCAAGGUCAGAGGUUAUCACUGUUAAAGGCACUGGCCUCCAGAUUUUCACUAAAAAUGAUCUUUCUUUAAAAUUGAAGUUUGGUCAUGUUAUGAACACUAGAACUUGAGUGUUUGUUUCUUAAAUGUCCUAAAAAUGGCAAAUUAAGAAAAAACACGCCAGAGUCGGGAAUUGAACAUGGGCCACCACGGCAAUAAAAUUUUUCCUGUUUUCUUGACCAAUACACCACGGAGGAAUACAUAUGGGGGAGACAUAUUGUUUUUGCCCUGUCCGUCCGUCACACUUCAUUUCCGAUCAAUAACUGGAGAACCAUUUGACCUAGAACCUUCAAACUUCAUAGGGUGGUAGGGCUGCUGGAGUCGACGAUCCCUAUUGUUUUUUGGGUCACUCCAUCAAAGGUCAAGGUCACAGGGACCUUGAUCCAGAAUGUUGAAACUUGAUAGGAUGAUUGAACAUGGAGAGUAGAUGAAUCCUAUCGAUUUUGGAAUCACUCUGUUAAAGGUCAAGGUCACAGGGGCCUGAACAUGGAAAACCAUUUCCGAUCAAUAACUUGAGAACCACUUGACCCAGAAUGUUGAAACUUCAUAGGAUGAUUGAACAUGCAGAGUAGAUGACAUCUAUUGAUUUUUGGGUCAGUCUAUUAAAGGUCAAGGUCACAGUGGCCUGGUCAUGUAAAAUCAUUUCCGGAAAGUAACUUGAGAACCACCUGACCUAGAAUGUUGAAACUUAAUUGGAUGAUUGUACAUGCAGAGUAGAUGACCCCUAUUUAUUAUUGGGUCACUUGAUCAAAGGUCAAGGUCACAGGAGCCUGAACAGUAACUUGAGAACCACUAGGCCAAGAAUGUUGACACUUAGCGGGAUGACUGGACAUGCGAAGUAGAUGAUCCCUAUUGUAGCCGACCAUCAGUGUCUCUUUUUUCGCUCCUGACCCCUAUUGACUUCUUGUUGCCUAUACGACUUUGCAUUGGGGGAGACAUGCGCUUUUUUACAAAAGCAUCUUAUAGUUAAGGCAGUUUACCUCUGGUAUCCAGUUACAAAUGGUUUUCAAUUUUGAAUAGUAAAAGUAGUAAAGACAACUUGUUUCCAUAACAUAUAAUUUGUCUGUAACUAAAUUUUAAAACUCUUCUGAAGGAAUAUGGCAUCUAAAAUUUUUUUCUUUUUUAGCUCAUCUGAUUUUUUGAAAAAAAAUGAUGAGUUAUUGUCAUCACUUGAGCGGUUGUCGGCGUCGGCGUCGGCGUCGGCGUUGCCUGGUUAAGUUUUAUGUUUAGG